UACGUAGGGGGCAAGCGUUGUCCGGAAUUAUUGGGCGUAAAGCGCGCGCAGGCGGUCAUUUAAGUCUGGUGUUUAAUCCUGGGGCUCAACCCCGGGUCGCACUGGAAACUGGGUGGCUUGAGUACAGAAGAGGAGAGUGGAAUUCCACGUGUAGCGGUGAAAUGCGUAGAUAUGUGGAGGAACACCAGUGGCGAAGGCGACUCUCUGGGCUGUAACUGACGCUGAGGCGCGAAAGCGUGGGGAGCAAACGGG
rnacentral:rRNA from 1 species